GACGGAGGGUGCUAGCGUUGUUCGGAAUUAUUGGGCGUAAAGGGCGCGUAGGCGGCCUGUGCAAGUCAGUUGUGAAAUCUCCGAGCUUAACUCGGAACGGUCAACUGAUACUGCUCGGCUAGAGUGCGGAAGGGGCAACUGGAAUUCUUGGUGUAGCGGUGAAAUGCGUAGAUAUCAAGAGGAACACCUGCGGCGAAGGCGGGUUGCUGGGCUGACACUGACGUGAGGCGCGAAAGCCAGGGGAGCGAACGGGG
rnacentral:rRNA from 1 species